ACUAUCGUCAGGGCGGAGUCCGGAGAAAGAGGAAGGGGGUAAGCGUUAGUCUGAAUUAGUGGGAGUAAAGGGUGGGUAUGUGGUGAGUUAAGUGCGUCGGUGAAUCCCCGGGCUCAACCUGGGAAUAGCGAUGGAUACUGGCGAGCUAGGGGGUGUCAGAGGAUGGUGGAAUUCGCGGUGUAGCGGUGAAAUGCGUAGAGAUCGGGAGGAACAUCAGGGGCGAAGGCGGCCAUCUGGGACAACACUGACGGUGAAGCACGAAAGCGUGGGGAGCAAACAGGAUUAGAUACCCUUGUAGUC
rnacentral:rRNA from 1 species